CAAGAAUUAGCAUAAGAUUAAUGUAUCUCACUUACGUUGAGAAGAUAAUUUUUUUAAAAUUAUUUUUGA
rnacentral:tRNA from 1 species